rnacentral:rRNA from 1 species
AUUGAACGCUGGCGGCAGGCCUAACACAUGCAAGUCGAGCGGCAGCGGGAAAGUAGCUUGCUACUUUUGCCGGCGAGCGGCGGACGGGUGAGUAAUGCCUGGGAAAUUGCCCAGUCGAGGGGGAUAACAGUUGGAAACGACUGCUAAUACCGCAUACGCCCUACGGGGGAAAGCAGGGGACCUUCGGGCCUUGCGCGAUUGGAUAUGCCCAGGUGGGAUUAGCUAGUUGGUGAGGUAAUGGCUCACCAAGGCGACGAUCCCUAGCUGGUCUGGGAGGAUGAUCAGCCACAAUGGAACUGAGAAACGGUCCAGACUCCUACGGGAGGCAGCAGUGGGGAAUAUUGCACAAUGGGGGAAACCCUGAUGCAGCCAUGCCGCGUGUGUGAAGAAGGCCUUCGGGUUGUAAAGCACUUUCAGCGAGGAGGAAAGGUUGAUGCCUAAUACGUAUCAACUGUGACGUUACUCGCAGAAGAAGCACCGGCUAACUCCGUGCCAGCAGCCGCCGUAAGAC